rnacentral:rRNA from 1 species
GACGAACGCUAGCGACAGGCUUAACACAUGCAAGUCGAGGGGCAGCAUAAAAGUAGCAAUACUUUGGUGGCGACCGGCGCACGGGUGAGUAACGCGUAUGCAACCUACCUAUCAGAGGGGAAUAACCCGGCGAAAGUCGGACUAAUACCGCAUAAAACAGGGGCACCGCAUGGUGAUAUUUGUUAAAGAAAUUCGCUGAUAGAUGGGCAUGCGUUCCAUUAGGUAGUUGGUGAGGUAACGGCUCACCAAGCCGACGAUGGAUAGGGGAACUGAGAGGUUGGUCCCCCACACUGGUACUGAGACACGAACCAGACUCCUACGGGAGGCAGCAGUGAGGAAUAUUGGUCAAUGGGCGGGAGCCUGAACCAGCCAAGUCGCGUGAAGGGAGAGGGAUCUAUGGUUCGUAAGCUUCUUUUGCAGGGGAAUAAAGUGCAGGACGUGUCCUGUUUUGUAUGUACCCUGAGAAUAAGGAUCGGCUAACUCCGUGCCAGCCGCCGCCGUAA